AACGAACGCUGGCGGCGUGCCUAACACAUGCAAGUCGAGCGAGAAAGCCCGCAAGGGUGAGUAAAGCGGCGCACGGGUGCGUAACACGUGGGUAAUCUGCCCUGAAGUCCGGAAUAACUCGCCGAAAGGCGUGCUAAUGCCGGAUAAGACCACGGGAACCUCGGUUCCUGCGGGAAAAGGUGGCCUCUGUACACAAGCUAUCACUUCAGGAUGAGCCCGCGGCCCAUCAGCUAGUUGGCGGGGUAAUGGCCCACCAAGGCUACGACGGGUAGCUGGUCUAAGAGGACGAUCAGCCACACUGGAACUGAGACACGGUCCAGACUCCUACGGGAGGCAGCAGUGAGGAAUAUUGCGCAAUGGGGGAAACCCUGACGCAGCGACGCCGCGUGGGUGAAGAAGGCCUUCGGGUUGUAAAGCCCUGUCAGGUGGGAAGAAGUGUAUCAUGGCUAAUAUCCAUGGUAUUUGACGGUACCACCAAAGGAAGCACCGGCUAACUCCGUGCCAGCCGCCGCAGUAACAC
rnacentral:rRNA from 1 species